rnacentral:rRNA from 1 species
GACGAACGCUGGCGGCGUGCCUAAUACAUGCAAGUCGAACGCAGUUGCGAACGGGUGAGUAACGCGUAGGUAACUGCCUGGUAGCGGGGGAUAACUAUUGUAAACGAUAGCUAAUACCGCAUACUACCAGAGGGACCUGCGUUGUAUUAGCUAGUUGGUGAGGUAACGGCCCACCAAGGCAACGAUACAUAGCCGACCUGCGAGGGUGAUCGGCCAAGAUGGGAACUAGGAACGGCCCAGACUCCUGCGGGAGGCAGCAGUGGGGAAACUUCGGCAAUGGGGGGAACCCUGACCGAGCAACGCCGCGUGAGUGAAGGAGGUUUUCGGAUCGUAAAGCUCUGUUGUUAAGGAAGCGGUCCUUACCCAGAAAGGGACGGCUAACUACGUGCCAGCAGCCGCGGUAAUUC